GGGAAAAUUUUCCUUCUCCCGCGCGAAGGCUCCUUCACUAGCAAGAUAAAUCGCAGAGGAGAAUCAGUGUUGUGAUUCAGAAAAGCUUUUUUUUCUUCACGAGCAAGAUAAAUUGCAGAGCAGAAUCAGUUUUGUGCGAUUCAAGGUAGCAGACUUCUUCGUUUGAGAAGGGGUCCUUUGUGCUUUAGAAGGGGAAACUUCUGGGAAGCAAGCACUGACCUGUUCGUUCGAGCAAGAGAAGGUAAGCUCUAAUCAUUCUUUUAAUAGUUUUCUUCCUCCUCUGUCAUAUGUGGUUUUUUAUCAGAGAAAACAAAUGAGAAAUUUAUUGUUAUAACUUACUAGUGAAAGAAACCCCAAAUAUUCCAAAGCUUUCGGAUUUUGGAUUUUAGGCCUAUAAUUAUAAUUUCAUAAUAAAAUUUUGGAUUCGAGGUCUUGUGUAGAGCAGUGUGAGAAGACUGGUUGUGUUGGGGAUACAUGCAUGUUUUCAGCACUGCAGGUUCUCAUCCGAUGGGAUCCUUGUUGAUGGUCCAUGGUACAUGCAAGAACCACUAUAUCUGAGGUGGAAACAGUGGGAUUGUGAGUGACUGUCGGUACCAUGCUUGAUAGAGAAAGGGAGAGAGAGAAACUCGGUAACAAACCAGUCAAAUAUCAUGGAAAGUGGCCUUUCUGGUGUGUCUUGGCAUUCAGGUGGCAGGUAUAUAGGCGGUUGUACAGGUAUGUGUGUUUGCAUAUUUAAUGAUGUAUGACAAAGUUCCUAGAUAGAACUCAAAAUAUUAAUUUAAAAAAUUCAUUGACUUUUGCUUGAAACUUGCACAAGUAAACUCAGAAUGGAAUUUGGCUUUCUUUACUUGGUCAAGAUAAAGAGCUGAAAUGGCAAAGCUAUACAGCCUUACUUUAUUUUCGAAAUAUAAUUUCAGACCUCCAUUUGAUCCUUGAUGUUUUCUUGUACUGUACAGAUACUUCGAAACUAUAUUGGAAGGGAGAACUUGCAGCUUUUCUGUCUGAGGCUAUUGCCAAAAACACACAAAUCAAAUUACUUGAACUAACAUUAAUUUAUUGCUUGAUACGAAUCAAAUUUGAUCCUCUGCCACCCUUGGUUUUAUAACAUGAUACGAAUCAAAUUACUUGAACUAACAUAACAUUAAUUUAUUGCUAUGUUGCAGAACUGAUGGUUGCACAUGUUAAUGAAUCGAGCUCUGUCACCAAGCUCUAUUCCUCUUUUCAUGUAUAGCUUUUCCUACCAUUAACCACCAUCUUGACAGUAGCCUGAACACUGGUGCUAGUUUCUUUACUUUUGAAAGCAAUGGCACAUGCAAUGGAGAACAAUUUAGUGAGGCUUUUAAUGCUGCAUUAAAUUGGGUUUGAAUUUUUUAUAAGGGCUAUCGAAGAAUAGAAAACACAUAUUAAUUGACCAAGGAAUCUGCUAAAAUCAUUGUUCAUAUAGGUGACAUAAGCAUCUGUAUGGAUAAGGUGAAUAGUGGCAUACCUAAACUCUAGAUUCUGGUAGAGAAGGAAUUUAGGGACAGUUUGAUGAUGGUUGAAGAAGGAUUGAAGCUUUGAGGAACUUCUAGUAUAGAGAUUUCUGAAAAUUCAGAUAUGGAGUUACCGGUAAGUUAUUUCAAUUGGAUGCAGAGUUUGAUGUGAAUUUAUUCUCUUUGAAGCUAACAUCGAUUUUUUGAGGAAUUUCUUGUAUAGAAAUUCAUGAAAAUUCAGAUUUGGAGUUGACAGUAAGUUAUUUCAAUUUGAUGCACAGUUAAAGAAUUUUCCAAUGCAUGCUAAAUAUUUAGGUUUUUUUAUUACAUCAUAUCUAUGGCCAUUGGACAAUACGUGCCUCUAUGGAUUUCUUUUGUUUCAACUAUAGAUUUAAUUUUUUGAUUUGAUUGAUUUCCUUUUAUUUUUUGGGAGACAUUGUUAGUAUGGCUUUUCUUGUUGCGUUAUCCCUUUGAUUUCUUAUUCAUAGUUUGAUAUCCACAAUGAAUAUUGGCUAUUCACCUGUUGGUGGUUUUGUCGUUAAUGGAAAUACCAUUGAUAAUUCUUGUAUUCUGAUAAGAAUACACCUUGAUUGAGCCAAUUUUUUUGAGCGGUUACAAUUGAUGGGUGAAAACCUAUAUUGAAUUAAAGGGAGUGUUGAGAUAAUUUAUAGGGAAGAUCCCCAUGCUUGAUAACGAGUGAAUGAUACAGGAAAAUGGGACCAAGAAAGCUGUACUAUCAUGUCAUAAUUGUUGAAUUCUGCAAUAUCAGUUCAGUUGAACCUUCUUGUUCCUUGAGACUUCUACCUGGAUUUGUGUUUUAUUUGUUUGCUUUUGAUGUAGUGCCCAUGUGGGUUUUCAUGUCAACCUUAGUUUCUUUUCCUAUCUAAUACCAGUAUUUUUUGCAGGUCAAAUUGGAACAAGGAAUUGAAAUGUUGAACAUUUCCAAGAAUUGUUGAAAUUGAUAUGUCCAUCUUGGGUGAUUUCAAUUUUUUCGAGGAUCACCAGAAAGCCAUGCAGGAAAGGAAGAAACAACAAGCCAGCUUGAUGGUUGUCCUUGUUGUUGGUGGCAAUGAGCACCGGAAUCCAGUCUCGCUAUCUAGUGACUUCAUAAAACAGAUGACCAAUAGAUUUGCUCAAGUUGUUAGGUUGGAAGAAAGUGGUAAAGAAGAGCUGAUAAGAGAAGGGUGGCUCUACUGUUGCUGCAACUGUGGGUGUUGGAGUUAAAUAUGAAGAUGUGUUAUAUUAUUCAAGAAGAUUUUUUUAAAUGCACUGUACCGUUUUAUA